rnacentral:lncRNA from 1 species
GGGGGUGGGGUGGUGGGAAUUUAUAACAGAGAAGCAGAUAGGAACUAGGACCUCUAUGGCCACAACUAACUUUCUCCUAAGGAUGGUGGCAAAUUGGGCGAUAACUGUGAGCAGGGAGAAGUGUCCCCAAUGUGAGACAGGUCUCUCUCCAGUGACCUGGAGGUGAAAUUGGAAGGCUGGAGAACAGCUACGAAGGGACAAGGCUUGGGGUCAGAGGCACAAAGCAAGCAAGGAAAGCACUUGAGACUCUGGUCUGACAGAGACGGCAGAGCCAUCACAGGUUUGAUGGAAGCCCAUGAUCUUGGAGGCCAUGUGGUUGAGUGGCCAUGGAGGAGAGCCAAAAGCAGCUGUCCUGAAACUCAUCUGCAGAUCAAGCUGGCUCAAAACUGCAAGAAAUCCUGCUGCAUCCUCCCAGGAGCUAGGACUGCAGACAGACUAAGCAAACAACUAAGCAAGCUCCCAGGCUUGCUUUCUGAGCUGUCAUUCUGUUAAGAGAGCCUCAGGAGCUAGGCUCAGA